rnacentral:rRNA from 1 species
AAAGAAAAUUCGAUUCCCUUAGUAGCGGCGAGCGAAACGGGAAGAGCCCAAACCAACAAGCUUGCUUGUUGGGGUUGUAGGACACUCUAUACGGAGUUACAAAGGACGACAUUAGACGAAUCAUCUGGAAAGAUGAAUCAAAGAAGGUAAUAAUCCUGUAGUCGAAAAUGUUGUCUCUCUUGAGUGGAUCCUGAGUACGACGGAACACGUGAAAUUCCGUCGGAAUCUGGGAGGACCAUCUCCUAAGGCUAAAUACUCUCUAGUGACCGAUAGUGAACCAGUACCGUGAGGGAAAGGUGAAAAGCACCCCGGAAGGGGAGUGAAAUAGAACCUGAAACCGUGUGCUUACAAGUAGUCAGAGCCCGUUAAUGGGUGAUGGCGUGCCUUUUGUAGAAUGAACCGGCGAGUUACGAUUUGAUGCAAGGUUAAGCAGUAAAUGUGGAGCCGUAGCGAAAGCGAGUCUGAAUAGGGCGUUUAGUAUUUGGUCGUAGACCCGAAACCAGGUGAUCUACCCUUGGUCAGGUUGAAGUUCAGGUAACACUGAAUGGAGGACCGAACCGACUUACGUUGAAAAGUGAGCGGAUGAACUGAGGGUAGCGGAGAAAUUCCAAUCGAACCUGGAGAUAGCUGGUUCUCUCCGAAAUAGCUUUAGGGCUAGCCUCAAGUGAUGAUUAUUGGAGGUAGAGCACUGUUUGGACGAGGGGCCCCUCUCGGGUUACCGAAUUCAGACAAACUCCGAAUGCCAAUUAAUUUAACUUGGGAGUCAGAACAUGGGUGAUAAGGUCCGUGUUCGAAAGGGAAACAGCCCAGACCACCAGCUAAGGUCCCAAAAUAUAUGUUAAGUGGAAAAGGAUGUGGCGUUGCCCAGACA